CCUACGGGAGGCAGCAGUAGGGAAUCUUCCACAAUGGACGAAAGUCUGAUGGAGCAAUGCCGCGUGAGUGAAGAAGGGUUUCGGCUCGUAAAACUCUGUUGUUAAAGAAGAACACCUUUGAGAGUAACUGUUCAAGGGUUGACGGUAUUUAACCAGAAAGCCACGGCUAACUACGUGCCAGCAGCCGCGGUAA
rnacentral:rRNA from 1 species